UCGCGCGUGGUCUAACGGCAAGACAACUGACUUUGACUCAGUUGAUGGAGGUUCGAUUCCUUCCGCGCGAA
rnacentral:tRNA from 1 species